CCUACGGGUGGCAGCAGUGAGGAAUAUUGGUCAAUGGACGCGAGACUGAACCAGCCAUGCCGCGUGCGGGAAGAAGGCACAGUGAAUUGUAAACUGCUUUUGUCAGAGGGUAAACGCAGAUACGCGUAUCUGUCUGAGUGUAUCGUACGAAUAAGCAUCGGCUAACUCCGUGCCAGCAGCCGCGGUAAUACGGAGGAUGCAAGCGGUAUCCGGAUUGAUUGGGGUGAAAGGGUGCGGAGGCGGGCGGAUAAGUGAGAGGUGAAAUCCGGGCGCUCAAGCUCGGAAUUACCUCUGAUAAUGUUCGGCUCGAGCUUAGUUGCGGUAUGCGGAAUGUGCGGUGUAGCGGUUAAAUGCUUAGAGAUCAUGCAGAACUCCGAUUGCGAAGGCAGCUUACCACGCUAAUUCUGACGUUGAGGCACGAAAGCGUGGGUAUCAAACAGGAUUAGAUACCCGAGUAGUC
rnacentral:rRNA from 1 species